GACGAACGCUGGCGGCGUGCUUAACACAUGCAAGUCGAACGGUGAAGCGCCUUCCUUUUUGGUGGGUGUGGAUGAGUGGCGAACGGGUGAGUAACACGUGAGUAACCUGCCCCCUUCUUCUGGAUAACCGCAUGAAAGUGUGGCUAAUACGGGAUAUUCUGGGUCUGUCGCAUGGUGGGUCUGGGAAAGAUAUUGUUUCGGUGGGGGAUGGGCUCGCGGCCUAUCAGCUUGUUGGUGGGGUGAUGGCCUACCAAGGCGGUGACGGGUAGCCGGCCUGAGAGGGUGGACGGUCACACUGGGACUGAGACACGGCCCAGACUCAUACGGGAGGCAGCAGUGGGGAAUAUUGCACAAUGGGCGCAAGCCUGAUGCAGCGACGCCGCGUGAGGGAUGGAGGCCUUCGGGUUGUGAACCUCUUUCGCCAGUGAAGCAGGCCUGCCUCGUUUGUGGGUGGGUUGACGGUAGCUGGAUAAGAAGCGCCGGCUAACUACGUG
rnacentral:rRNA from 1 species